rnacentral:rRNA from 1 species
GAUGAACGCUGGCGGCGUGCCUAAUACAUGCAAGUCGAGCGAACGGACGAGGAGCUUGCUUCUCUGAUGUUAGCGGCGGACGGGUGAGUAACACGUGGAUAACCUACCUAUAAGACUGGGAUAACUUCGGGAAACCGGAGCUAAUACCGGAUGAUAUAUUGAACCGCAUGGUUCAAAAGUGAAAGACGGUCUUGCUGUCACUUAUAGAUGGAUCCGCGCUGCAUUAGCUAGUUGGUAAGGUAACGGCUUACCAAGGCAACGAUGCAUAGCCGACCUGAGAGGGUGAUCGGCCACACUGGAACUGAGACACGGUCCAGACUCCUACGGGAGGCAGCAGUAGGGAAUCUUCCGCAAUGGGCGAAAGCCUGACGGAACAACGCCGCGUGAGUGAUGAAGGUCUUCGGAUCGUAAAACUCUGUUAUUAGGGAAGAACAUAUGUGUAAGUAACUGUGCACAUCUUGACGGUACCUAAUCAGAAAGCCACGGCUAACUACGUG